rnacentral:piRNA from 1 species
UCGAGCUUUCGUUUGAAGUUU